UGGGUUGUGGCUCUGUGGCAGAGUGCUUGCCUCACACGUAUGAGGCACUGAGUUCAAUCCUCAUCACCACAU
rnacentral:tRNA from 1 species